ACCCGCACAAGCGGUGGAUGAUGUGGAUUAAUUCGAUGCAACGCGAAAACCUUACCUACCCUUGACAUGUCCGGAAUCCCGAAGAGAUUUGGGAGUGCUCGCAAGAGAACCGGAACACAGGUGCUGCAUGGCUGUCGUCAGCUCGUGUCGUGAGAUGUUGGGUUAAGUCCGCUAACGAGCGCAACCCUCGCUGUGUGUUAUAUGUGUCACACGGGACUGCCGGUCUUAAGCCGGAGGAAGGUGGGGAUGAUGUCAAGUCAGCAUGGCCUUUAUAUCCUGGGCUACACACACGCUACAAUGGCCAACACAAUAGGUUGCUAAGCCGCGAGGUGGCGCCAAUCCAUAAAGUUGGUCUCAGUUCAGAUUGUAGGCUGCAACCCGCCUGCAUGAAGAUGGAGUUGCUAGUAACCGCAGGUCAGCUAUACUGCGGUGAAUACGUUCCCGGGGCUU
rnacentral:rRNA from 1 species